CUAGCUAAAUGGAAGGUGGGACCAACGUGAUGUUUACAUCCCCAGGUAUCUAACCAGUAGCCACAUUGCAACAUGGAGGACUUCCCAAAAGGCGCUUCUUAUUUUAGUACAACAGAACCCAGGAGAGGCCUGCUGCGAAUACUGGCUUGGAUCCCUCAGUGUGCCUGCAGUGGUGUGACCACGGAAGAGUCCUCAAGGUCUUUUAAAAUAGGACUUUUCCAAUUGAUCUUUUUGGACUUGUCCACUUGGGACUUUUAGCUAUUGUUAAAUAAAUAAUGUAGAACACCC